AUACGGAGGACGCGAGCGUUAUCCGGAUUCAUUGGGUUUAAAGGGUGCGCAGGCGGGUGAUUAAGUCGGCGGUGAAAUUUUGCAGCUCAACUGUAAAAGGGCCUUCGAAACUGGUUUCCUUGAGUGCAGAAGAAGUAGGCGGAAUUUGUGGUGUAGCGGUGAAAUGCAUAGAUAUCACGAGGAACUCCGAUUGCGCAGGCAACGUACUAAACUACGACUGACGCUCAGGCACGAAGGCGUGGGGAUCAAACAGGAUUAGAUACCCUGGUAGUCCACGCAGUAAACGAUGAUUGCUAGCUGUUUGCGAUACAAUGUAAGCGGCUGAGCGAAAGCGUUAAGUAAUCCGCCUGGGGAGUACGUUCGCAAGAAUGAAACUCAAAGGAAUUGACGGGG
rnacentral:rRNA from 1 species